rnacentral:lncRNA from 1 species
UUUGUUUUUCACAGAAAAGAUAUUCAUGUGGAACUCCGUGCCGGUUGGGGUCCUUUAUUUUAGAUGUCAGUUGAUGUCGAAGGUCAAGCAAUAGCCUUCACUUUACUGUUUGAAGGUCGGCUUUGGAUCCAUGAGAAAAUUGAAGUCACGAGGUGAAUUGCUGCCUUGACAGUUGCGGAGAAGAAUGAAGACAGAGAGUCAUAGUAUCCCAGGCUCAGAAGCUGCUGCUGGAGCCAGUAACUGAGAGAGAGAGAGCAAGUACAAGAAGGGGGAGCAGCAGAGGGAGAUGGAGAAGCAGUCUUCCCACUGAGCAGGGAGUCCGAUGCAGGGCUCGAUUCCAGGACCCUGGGAUCAUGACUUGAGUCAAAGGCAGACAGUUUCCUGGGAUCAUGGCCUGAGCUGAAGGCAGAUGCUUAACCAACUGAGCCACCCAGGUCCAACAGGGAAGAACUGGAAAUGCAGAGAAGGAAGCACACUUCCAUCUACAAAAGCCAGAGACAUGUCUUGCAAGAAGUUGCUGUGGCUGGGGUCAAAGAGGUUACUGCUUGUGUUCUCCUCCAGGGUUUUGAUGGGUUCCUGUCUCACACUGAGGUCUUUCAUCCAUUUUGAGUUUAUUUUGUAUACGGUGUAAUAAAAUAGUCCAGUUUCAUUUUUCUGAUGUGGCUGUCCAAUUUUCCCAGCACCAUUUAUUGAAGAGACUGUCUUUUUUCCAUUGGCUAUUCUUUCCUGCUUUGUUGAAGGUUAGCUGACCAUAGAGUUGAGAGUCCAUUUUUGGGUUCUCUAUUCUGUUCCAUUGAUCUAUGUGUCUGUUUUUGUGCCAACACCAUACUGUCUUGAUGAUCACAGCUUUGUAAUAUAGCUUGAAGUCAGGCAUUGUGAUGCCCCCAGCUUUGGUUUUCAUUUUCAACACUCUCCUGGCAACUCAGGGUCUUUUCUGUUCCCAUACAAAUUUUAGGAUUGUUUGUUCCAGCUCUGUGAAAAAGGUCAAUGGCAUUUUGAUAGGGAUUGCAUUGAAUGUGUAGAUUGCUCUGGGCAGCAUAGACAUUUUAACAAUGUUUAUUCUUCCAAUCCAUGAGCAUGGAAUAUUUUUCCAUUGCUUUGUGUUUUUCUCAAUUUCUUUCAUAAGUGUUCUGUAGUUUCUAGAGUAC